AAAAUAAGGUGAUGGUGAAUUAUGAGUCCCUUGGGAGAUGAGUACACUUUUGCAAUCUGAUAACCUUUGGCACAAAACACAUAUACUCGUGAAUGGGCCAGCACUUAAGAGUGAUUCACCACUGAGCAUUAUAGAAAAUAGAUAUACCAGUUCAAAAAUUCAAGGACAUGGACAGAAUCCUCAGUAAAGAUCCAACCUGGCAGUAGAUAAUGCCAGAGCUCAUCGGAGAGCCUUGUCUGGGUGAAGAAGAGAGCUAGAAGGAGGAAGAUGAGAAUGAGAUCGAUCUUACCAGCCAGGAACUGUUUGCUGAGUACCUAUGGAAAAUAUAAAGAAUAUUGAGAUGCAGAAAUAUGUUUACAGUGCAGUGUUCCUCAGUGUGAGGAUCUUCUUGGGUGAGGAGAGGCUACAAACCAAGGAAAACAGAUGGAGUGACCACAGAGGUCAAGGACAAAACUUCCUUUGAAUUCAAUGAGACCUAGACCUGUCCCUUGGGGCUCAUCUCUAAUUGCUGACCAUCUGAGUACCACUGUAGGUAAGGAUCACAGGUCCUAGUCCUUAUAUUGUAUAAACUCGUUGGUACAGGGUCAUUGUCUUUUUAUAUUAUCUGCAAAGAGAGACACACGUGGUGUUGUAAAAGCAGGAAUCAUUUGUGCAAUUUUACUUGUUUUGUAAAUGUGCUGCAUCAAGUUAGUGGAUAUCAUCCAAUUUAUUUGAAUAAAAACAUUGUGUCAAUAAAUGGCCCCUAACAUUUGAAGUUUCAUAAUAUUAAGCACCAAACAAGGCAAUGAACCUGCAAAAAGUUGUGCAUUUGUUUACAUUUACACACAUGAGUAGUUUCAUCAACUGUGGAACUACCCACAAAAGUAUAAUAGCUGUAAAACAAUCACUGAAGCCAGAUCUUACUAUUAUUGACUUCAAUAGUACUACUCAUUUUCAUCAAGUUAAGCCUCUGUGUAAGUCGUUGCAGUAUCAGGGCUUAAUAUUGUACUUUAAAAUAACAGUGAACCAUAAAAGCAAGGAAGUUCUUAGAUAAGGGUGAAAUAUAUCAUAGAUAUUCCCAGGCUAACUGGAUUUUUUUUUCUUUUUAGUGUGUCCUCUUGUGAUUUGUUGUUGGAAGCAGUGAACAAAAAUAUUUUGGUCUUAAAAAAUCCUCUCCAGUAUAAUUUGUACUGCCUCAAAAUUUCAGUAUAUUACAUCUGUAGCUAUUGAAUAUUAAUACAAAAAGGGAAAAUCCUGACUUACCUGUGAAUUUUCAUUUAGGGUUCUCCAUGUCAGACAGCUUCAUAGUGGGGCAUUCCCAGUCUUCAUGGCAACUGAAGACAGACUAGAUCUGUGCUCUCACACUGCCUUUAGGACUACCAUUCAGAAAGAACUCUCCAGAAGCAGAAAAAUAUUACCUUUAUAAAAGUGCUAUUCAACUCAAACCAUUUGUAGCAGAGCUGGGAUUUUCUGUAGGAACGCUCUCUUCCCUUUUCAAACUACCUAACAAGUGAGCAAUAGUAGAUAAAACCCUGGAUAUAAUGCAGUCUUCUGAGGGAGGGUCACACUGUCUGACAUGGAGGGCCUGAGAAUGAAAAUUCACAAGACAGAAUCUUUCCUUUCUCAGUUCCCUCCAUGUCAGACAGUCUUCAUGAUGAAACGUAGAAAGCAGUACAUUAUCCCUUGGGUGAGAGGAGAAUUGAAAAUGAACUUAUGGAUUACUGGGGUCCUUUGUUCUGUAACACCCUUCAACCAAAUGCUGUAUCAGCAGGAGUGAGGAUGUUCACGCUAAAGUAUCAAAGUAUGGAAUACAUUGUAGGCAGAAGUGUCCCUAGCUGUUUUGCUGGCCUGGACUGAAAAUGUUUUCAGUGCCCCCACCCAAUAAGUAGCCAAGCAACCCCUCUGCUGGCUCGCUCCUAGACCCGGCCCUGACUAUAGGAGCUGUGCAGACCUCCUCAGAGGGUGAGAGAUCACUCCACUCACAAAACUGCUGCUCUUUUCACGGAUACAGAGUAAUGAGAGGAUUUGUACCUGAGGCUUUGACUCCCUCUGCUAUAUUCACCUGUAGGCUCUGUUCACAUCUAACUUACGCAUUUCCACAACCUUAGGAUGUUUGGAUUCAGUCACUAGGGCAGCAAUACCACUGCUACCAUAGGAGGAAGAUCAUGGAGACUUUGAGGAUGGAGGCCUGAUCAGUUCACAGAACUACCAUGUUUGAAAUUUUCCUGCCUGCUCUGAAAACUGUGGGAAUAAGGGUCCCAUGCCUAUAGCAGAGGGAGGGUAUCUUUGGGGUGGGGGAAACACCUUCCCCUUGUUUCCAUUAUUCUCACUAGCACGUGGACAAGGUCAACAGUGAGGCAGUUGAGCAUGUGAGUGAGGUUCAUGUUGAGACAGUUUAGCAGGCUACAGGGAAAACUGGCUCCCUGCCAGGGUGUGGAAAAUGGAUACUGAGACAGGUGAACAGGGUGCAUGGAAUUGCUAAAUGAAAGCUCAUAACUCUCUCUGGAGAAAUUUCUGCAGAGGAAACUCUUUUCUACUAUGCCUCCCCCAAGCAAGAAGAUACCAAAAGAUAUUUUUUCACACCAGUCGACAGGAUAAUUUUGUUAUGCUCUGUAAGUUUAAGUCUGACCAUACUUUCCUAUUAUUCAUAUAGGUGUGAAUAUGGGAUAACAUUUUUUGUAAAGCACUUACAUGAUUUAUAAGACUAAUUCCCCUAGAUUUUCAGUGAGAUUAAGGCUCCUAAGUAUUUACGCGACUUUGAAAAAUGGGAUUUAGGCAGUUUGUAAAAGAUUACCCAUAGUCAUUUGUCUUAAAAUUUCUCUGUAAAACUGCAAAUAAAGACUUUUUUAGUUUAGGCCAAACUGAACUGGGUAUCUGGUGGCCAUUAUUCUUGGGGUCAAGGUAACUCUGCCUAAAUGCCAGGUGAAAGGUGGCAGUGCUACAGAACGGCUGGCAAAGAUCACUAUGCGGGGGGUAAUAGUCUUAUAGAAUAUAACAACUUUAUGGCCAUGUUCUUUUCUCCAGUAUGUCUGUACAACUUCCACAGAAAUCAUUAGGUGGUGAAUAUGCAAAAUUUCUCCCUUAUGAUACUGUGAUUAUAAUCAAAUCUUUUAAUGUUGUACCAUGCAUAGUAUUCAGCAUGAAACUUACAGGGAAUAUUUACAUCUUCAGUUACUGAAUUUUCUUAGCACUCUUCACUAUAACAAUAUACUGUAUACACUGUAAUUAAAACCCAAAUUUGAAUUUGCACCAAAUUCAAACGCUUGAGAUUUAGUAUCAGAAUACACCUCUACACUAAGUAGUAUUGCAAGCUUCAAAAAUACUUUUUAUUGACAUACAAAAAAGAGUAAGGAAAUAUACAUUGUAAUAAAACAUUUUUCUUUUCCUCUACAAAUAAGCAAUGCAAAUGAUCAAACAUUCAGUUGCUUCAGUUUCUUAUAAAUAAGCUGAAAUAGAGUAAAGAACUCUUAUGAAAUAGAAAAUAUUUUGGUAAUGUUCUUUUACCAUCUCACUAAAAUCCCGGGUUGUAAUUUGCAUGUACAUUGUUAAUCCUUAUUUACAAUCUCAUACGCAAUCAUCUUCAUUAUCUGUGGCAGAGAAAUUUACAUGUAAUUCUUGUACGUUCAGCUAUUUGGUUUUAUUCAACUCCAUUUUAGCUUAAAAAUCAUUACCACCACUUUAAAUAUUCAAAAUAGAAAUUAUUUUUAAAUCUAAUUUUCAAUAAUUUAUGCUGUCUAGUGCUGGCAUUCACUCAGAAGAGUGAAUUUAGUUCUCAGUUUCCCUUUUUUUCGGUUGCAUUCAUGAGGAACAAAAUGCUGUUAUGUCUCAAUGCCUAGUACUGCAGGGAAGCAUUUAAAUACAUUAAAAGUUAUCCUGUUUUCAUUCAAUUUAAAAGAAAAUACUUGUUUAUUUUAGGUUUUGUAGCCUUCCUCACCCCCUAUUUAUAUAUAGUGUUACACAAAUCCAAAAUUGGUGUCUAAGCUCUGUGACAGUCUCCCUUUAAAAGUCUAAUAGUUUAGAGGGACAUUUUCAAACGCACAGUUAGGCAUCCAGUUGAAAGCUGGUAGAAGCUGUGGUCUUAACUCCCAUUUUUGCCUUUGAAAAUGACCUUCGGGUUCCACGUUUCUACAAGACUUGAACUUGGUUUUGCACAUCACAUUUUACUAGAGGUAAUACAAGUUACAUAUUUAUAACAUUUUUCAAACAGAGCAAGAAUAUGUGCAGUUUAUUUAUCUGAUGUAAGAUUUAACAGGUCUCUGAAUGCAUAUUUCUUGACAAAUUGCUCUGAGAAAUACCCUAUUAUACCCUAUGAUGAGAGGUAAGCUAACCUGCUCCACUUACAGUGUAAUAAUUUAAGUUAGGAUGUGAGAUUUCCAUUGCCUUUUAGGAAUUAAUUGAUUAAAAGGUGAACAUUUUUUCUUCAGUCCUUAAAGCAGCUUUAUUUUAAAGAUAUUUUUCCAGGACAGAACUAAAAGAAGCAUUUUUGAAUUGGGAUAGAAAUGUUAUUUUAUUAUCAGUUUAGAAUGAAAGAUUUUAUAAUGUAUUUCAUA